GACGAACGCUGGCGGCGUGCUUAACACAUGCAAGUCGAACGGAAAGGCCCUGCUUUUGUGGGGUGCUCGAGUGGCGAACGGGUGAGUAACACGUGAGUAACCUGCCCUUGACUUUGGGAUAACUUCAGGAAACUGGGGCUAAUACCGGAUAGGAGCUCCUGCUGCAUGGUGGGGGUUGGAAAGUUUCGGCGGUUGGGGAUGGACUCGCGGCUUAUCAGCUUGUUGGUGGGGUAGUGGCUUACCAAGGCUUUGACGGGUAGCCGGCCUGAGAGGGUGACCGGCCACAUUGGGACUGAGGUACGGCCCAGAAUCCUACGGGGGGCAGGAGUGGGGAAUAUUGCACAAUGGGCGGAAGCCUGAUGCAGCAACGCCGCGUGCGGGAUGACGGCCUUCGGGUUGUAAACCGCUUUCGCCUGUGACGAAGCGUGAGUGACGGUAAUGGGUAAAGAAGCACCGGCUAACUACGUG
rnacentral:rRNA from 1 species